rnacentral:tRNA from 1 species
AGGUAAAAUGGCUGAGUAAGCCAUUAGACA